rnacentral:rRNA from 1 species
UACGGAGGGGGCUAGCGUUGUUCGGAAUUACUGGGCGUAAAGCGCACGUAGUCGGCUUUGCAAGUCGGGUGUGAAAGCCCCGGGCUCAACCUGGGAAUUGCAUUUAAGACUGCAUAGCUAGGGUGCGGAAGAGGGAAGCGGAAUUUCCGGUGUAGCGGUGAAAUGCGCAGAUAUCGGGAGGAACACCGGUGGCGAAGGCGGUUCUCUGGGGCUUACCUGACGCUGAGGAGCGAAAGCGUGGGGAGCGAACAGG